UAUCUUAUUAUCACCACUGGACUCUUUCCGAAAUGGAGGGAAAAGCUUUUAUUAUAAUGUGCAUUUUUAUUGGUAAGUGAAACAAAUGUUAAAACAAAUUAUACAAGAACAACAAUAAUAAUACCCCAAUUCACUUAGACAUAAUAUAUAUAUGUUCAAAAUAUGUACUUUAACAGCACACCAACUUUUUGUCUUCUCUAGCAACAGUCCACGCGCAAAGUUCAACAACUCAGUCCACAGUAGAUUCAACAACCGACACCUCUGCAACACCCACAGCUACAAUGACGUCUUCAACAACCACUACAACUCUUGCUGAAUCAUCCACUACUACUGCAGGAGUUACCACGACAGCACCACAAACUACUUUUACAACAGCUGAAUCCUCCACAACAGCUACAACAACAGCAGAUCCUUCAACAACCACUACAACUAUUGCUGAAACAUCCACUACUACUGCAGGAGUUACCACGAUACCACCACAAUCUACUGUUACAACAGCAGAAUCCUCCACAACAGCUACAACAACAGCAGUUCCUUCAACAACCACUACAACUCUAACUGAAGCAUCCACUACUACUGCAGGAACAACCACAACAGCCCCACAAACUACUGUUACAACAGCAGAAUCCUCCACAACAGCAACAACAACAGCAGUGCCCUCAACAACCACUACAACUCUUGCUGAAUCAUCCACCACUACUCCAGGAGUUACCACAACAGCACCACAAACUACUGUUGCAACAGCAGAAUCCUCCACAACAGAUACAACAACAGCAGUGCCCUCAACAAUCACUACAGCUCUUGCUGAAUCAUCCACCACUAUUGCAGGAGUUACCACGACAGCACUACAAACUACUGUUACAACAGUUGAAUCCUCCACAACAGCAACAACAACAACAGUUCCCUCAACAACAAUUACAACUCUUGAUAAAUCAUCCACGACUACUGCAGGAGUUACCACAACAGCCCCACAAACUACUGUUACAACAGUAGAAUCCUCCACAACAUCUACAACAACAACAACAGUGCCCUCAACAACCAUUACAACUGUUGCUGAAUCAUCCACGACUACUGCAGGAGUUUCCACGACAGCACUACAAACUACUGUUACAACAGCAGAAUCCUCCACAACAGCUACAACAACAGCAGUUCCUUCAACAACCAUUACAACUCUUACUGAGGCAUCCACUACUACUGCAGGAGUUACCACAACAGCACCACAAACUACUGUUACAACAGCAGAAUCCUCCACAACAUCUACAACAACAACAACAGUGCCCUCAACAACCAUUACAACUGUUGCUGAAUCAUCGACCACUACUGCAGGAGUUACCACAACAGCACCACAAACUACUGUUACAACAGCAGAAUCCUCCACAACAGCUACAACAACAGCAGUUCCUUCAACAACCAUUACAACUCUUACUGAGGCAUCCACUACUACUGCAGGAGUUACCACAACAGCCCCACAAACUAGUGUUACAACAGCAGAAUCCUCCACAACAGCAACAACAACAGCAGUUCCUUCAACAACCAUUACAACUCUUACUGAGGCAUCCACUACUACUGCAGGAGUUACCACAACAGCACCACAAGCUACUGUUACAACAGCAGAAUCCUCCACAACAGCUAGAACAACAGCAGCAACAUCUGAAACACCAGCAACUUCAUCGCCAACAGGUUCAGCCACAGUCUUUACAUCAAUUAUUGGUACAUCCACCAGUGGUACAGCAAUAACCACAAAAGUGACACAAUCUAAAGUUACUACAGAGUCUACAGCAUCUAACACUUCUACAGAACCUGCAGUGUCUACAGCUGCUAUAGCUUCUACUGUAUCUACAGCUUCAACAGCAUCUACAGCAUCAACAGCAUCUACAACCUCUACAGCAUCUACAGCCUCUACAACAUCUACAACCUCUACAGCAUCUACAACCUCUACAGCAUCUACAACCUCCAAAGCAACUACUGCAAAAAUAAUACCUGAAGUGCUAACAGAUCUAGUGUUUAGCUCUUUUGAGACAUUUAUAGAUGCACUCAGUGAUGUCAACAGUGAGGAGUUUAAGAUUAGGUCUAAACUUGUCAAGGAUGAGCUUGAGCCUGUCUACAAAAUCAAGUAUUCUAACUUCCUCAGACUGAAUGUCCUAAGAUUCAGGUAAAUACAGUAUAUUGCAAUAUGAAUUAUUUUAUGAAUGCUCUGUGUGUGUGUGUGUGUGUGUGUGUGUGUGUGUGUGUGUGUGUGUGUGUGUGUGUGUGUGUGUGUGUGUGUGUGUGUGUGUCUGUGUCUGUGUGUGUGUGUGUGCGCGAGUGGUCCUGGUGUUCCCUUAUUGUGGGAACCAAAUGUCCCCACAAGGAUAAUAAUACCAGUAAAUUUUGACAUUUUUUUGGUCCCCAUGAGAAAACAAACUUAAAUCAUACAGAAUUAUCUUUUAAAAAAAUCUAAAAUAGCAGAAAGUCUUGUGUGAGGGUUAAUGGUAGGGUUAGGGUAAGGGGAUAGAAAAUACUGUUUGUACAGUAUAAGAAUCAUUACACCUAUGGAAUGUCCUCAAAACAUGGAAACAUGUGUAUGUUCCUACUUAACAAUAUUUUAAAGGGGCCUCUGAAUUCUUGAUCCAGGCCUGGUUAGAGUUAGUUUAUAGUAUUUAAAACUAGCUGUAUUAAGCUGUCCUCAUUUAGAUAGUUAAGUAAGUGUGUGUGUGUGUGUGUGUGUGUGUGUGUGUGUGUGUGUGUGUGUGUGUGUGUGUGUGUGUGUGUGUGCGUGCGUGCGUGUGUGUGAGUAAAAGAGAGAGGGGAAAAAAGAAACUUGCAAUAAACAGAAUUUAUAAAGCUAAUAUUUAUUAAUUUCAACAUUUAUAUAUUCUAGAUCAGGGUCAAUCAUCACAUCAACACAACUAGCUUUCAGCUUCAACCAAACUAUCCCAUCUGUUCAAGAGAUUUCAAACACCCUCUUGGAAGCAGUGGGAACAGGGGAUGUCAAUCCAUUAAAGAUAAUCCCUGAAUCAAUUUCAGUCAAUGGUUCAGGUAAGAUGAACUACACACACUACUCAACUCUCAACUCAACUCAACUUUACUUAUAUAGCACCAAUAAAAACAAAAAUUGUAGACCAAGGUGCUGUACUAGAUUUAUAGUCUUCUAUACCUGUAACUAGUCUAUAACUAUGAGUCUAUUGGAAUGUUCAGCUAAUUUGCUUGUGUUUUUAUUACUGCUUCAGCUACAACUGUUGCUCCUGCAACAACUACAACAACCACCACAGCAACUACAGUUUCAGGCGGAUUAAAGAUUGAAUCCAGUCUGUUCCAAGCAAUAUGCCUCAUUAUUAUGUCUAAAAUAUUAAGCUUUUUCCUAUAGAUCCCUUAAACAUAUCAACCAAACAUGAGAGUUCAACAAGACACACUGUAACAAAUUAAUUAAACACAAAAUGUAUUUAUUAUUAUUAUUAUUAAAUGUAUAGUAUUUCUCAUUGUAGCACAUUCUCAAAUACUAGUAUUGAGCAACAUAAAGAUAACUUUGAUAAUGCAUUUUUGCUGAAGAAUAUAACAGUAGAUAUCUGUUUAACAGCAGGCUGUUUUCUGGGAGGGAGAAGUAGAUCUUUUUCCUUAUGUAUUUCCUUUAAAUGUAAACAUUGUGAAUGUUGUUUAACUGUUUUGAGGUUAAUACUGUUUAAACUACUUAUUUUUGUUUGUCUAAGUUCUAACAUUGUAAUAUGUAAUAUUUUAAUUAAAUAAAAAUAUUUAUUAAAUGAUGUAGUCCAAAAUAUUUUGCUUUCAUAAAAAAAAGACUACAAUACAACUACAGCACAAUAAAUACUACACUGUAAAAAGUCUGUAGUUUUUACAAAAUAAUUUUGGCAGCUGUGGUUGCCAGAAUACUUUUGUAAAAAAUACAGAAAAACUGUAAACACAAUUACGGCCAAAAACUGUAAAUUUUACAGUAUAAAACUGUUAUUUACAAACAAGAAAAUUUUAAUGUAAACCAGUAAAUUCAACAACGCACACUGCUAUUAAAAUCUGUUUUGUACCUUUAACAUACUGACAACCACCAUAAUAAUGCAGGUGGUAAAAGAGAAAGCCACAUGAAGAAUCGAAGUUCAUCACAAGUAGCUUCGCCACAAGCAGAAGUUUAUAUUAAUAUAUAGAAGGUGCACAAAGUCAUUCAUGCAAACACAAAACACCAUCAUGGUGACACACGAUACUUAAACAAUUCAAUAAACUUUCAUUAAACAGCAGAAGAUGUAACAUAAAGCCCAAAUGUACAACUGAUAACAAAAAACUAUUAAAAAACAUGAUUAUUUAAACAAAAUACUUUCAAAUGUGGAGCGUCACACAGGGAAUUCUGGGAAUAUCAGUUUACAGUUUUUGACUGUAAAUUAUACAUUGAUUUGUUCUUUUUAUUUCUAAAAAAUUGUACAGUUAAAAUGACACUUAUUUUUUACAGUGUAUAUAUGCUAAACCUGGCUUUUUAUGGUAAAGUGUUCACUGUUCAAACAACCCUUACCAAAAAGCAGUAUACUUCAAGUUUAUUUUAUUAAGUAUACUUAAAUAAAGUUCAAGUAUAUUUU
ensembl:lncRNA